rnacentral:rRNA from 1 species
UGGGGAAUCUUGGACAAUGGGGGCAACCCUGAUCCAGCCAGCGCCGUGAGUGAUGAAGGCCUUAGGGUCGUAAAGCUCUUUCGCCUGUGAAGAUAAUGACGGUAGCAGGUAAAGAAACCCCGGCUAACUCCGUGCCAGCAGCCGCGGUAAUACGGAGGGGGUUAGCGUUGUUCGGAAUUACUGGGCGUAAAGCGCACGUAGGCGGACCAGAAAGUUGGGGGUGAAAUCCCGGGGGCUCAACCCCGGAACUGCCUCCAAAACUAUUGGUCUAGAGUUCGAGAGAGGUGAGUGGAAUUCCAAGUGUAGAGGUGAAAUUCGUAGAUAUUUGGAGGAACACCAGUGGCGAAGGCGGCUCACUGGCUCGAUACUGACGCUGAGGUGCGAAAGUGUGGGGAGCAAACAGGAUUAGAUACCCUGGUAGUCCACACCGUAAAACGAUGAAUGCCAGUCGUCGGGUAGCAUGCUAUUCGGUGACACACCUAACGGAUUAAGCAUUCCGCCUGGGGAGUACGGUCGCAAGAUU